GGGGGGAGCAAGCGUUGUUCGGAUUUACUGGGCGUAAAGGGCGCGUAGGCGGUCAGCACAAGUCAGUUGUGAAAUCUCCGGGCUUAACUCGGAACGGUCAACUGAUACUGUGCGACUAGAGUGCAGAAGGGGCAACUGGAAUUCUCGGUGUAGCGGUGAAAUGCGUAGAUAUCGAGAGGAACACCUGCGGCGAAGGCGGGUUGCUGGGCUGACACUGACGCUGAGGCGCGAAAGCCAGGGGAGCGAACGGGAUUAGAUACCCCGGUAGUCCUGGCCUUAAACGAUGGAUGCUUGGUGUCUGGAGUUAUAUAGUCUCCGGGUGCCGCAGCUAACGCGUUAAGCAUCCCGCCUGGGGAGUACGGUCGCAAGACUG
rnacentral:rRNA from 1 species